CAGUCGCCACGGUAAUACAGAGGGUGCGAGCGUUAAUCGGAUUUACUGGGCGUAAAGCGUGCGUAGGCGGCUUUUUAAGUCGGAUGUGAAAUCCCUGAGCUUAACUUAGGAAUUGCAUUCGAUACUGGGAAGCUAGAGUAUGGGAGAGGAUGGUAGAAUUCCAGGUGUAGCGGUGAAAUGCGUAGAGAUCUGGAGGAAUACCGAUGGCGAAGGCAGCCAUCUGGCCUAAUACUGACGCUGAGGUACGAAAGCAUGGGGAGCAAACAGGAUUAGAUACCCCCGUAGUCCCUGUCUCUUAUAA
rnacentral:rRNA from 1 species